CUGCAAAAGGUGGUUUGCAAGAAUCAACACCCUGUGAUUCACAGCGCAGUAGAGGAGGAACAGGGGCUGGAUGAGGGAAAAGAGCAACUCACCAGCACACAGAGGGUUCCUGUGAACACCUCGGUUGAGAUUACAUCCUGAACUACCACACAGUAUACAAUCAGUGAAUGUAUAAUCGUCUCUGCUGCUGCUGCUGCUAAGUCGCUUCAGUCGUGUCAGACUCUGUGCAACCCCACAGACGGCAGCCCACCAGGCUCCCCCAUCCCUGGGAUUCUCCAGAUAUGCGCCCAGGAGUGGGAUUGCUGGAUCAUAUGUAGUCAUGUAUGGAUGUGAGAGUUGGACUGUGAAGAAAGCUGAGCACCAAAGAAUUGAUGCUUUUGAACUGUGGUGUUGGAGAAGACUCUUGAGAGUCCCUUGGACUGCAAGGAGGUCCAACCAGUCAAUGGUAAAGGAAAUCAGCCCUGAAUGUUCAUUGGAAGUACUGAUGUUGAAGCUGAAACUCCAGUACUUUGGCCAUCUGAUGUGAAGAGCUGACUCAUUGGGAAACACCCUGAUGCUGGGAAAGAUUGAAGGUAGGUUGAGAAGGGGACGACAGAGGAUGAGAUGGUUGGAUGGCAUCACUGACUCAAUGGACAUGAGUUUGAGUAAACUCCAGGAGUUGGUGAUGGACAAGGAGGCCUGGUGUGCUGCAGUCCAUGGGGUUGCAAAUAGUUGGACAUGACUGAGCGACUGAACUGAACUACCUGUCCAGAAAUUAAUUAAUAGAAGCAUGCAUUGGAAUUGUCUAUUUACCUACCUGUUUCUGCAAGGCACCAGAAGCUCAUGAAAACAGGUGCUCUGUGUCAUUGACAUGGCCCAUUUUAAGGCACGCUGCCUUAAAAAUAUUCCUAUCAAUGUCAUGAGCUAACCUCUGAACCAAAGGUACAUCAUCUUCAACAACAACAACAAAAUCUGCAACAUUGCAUCCCUCACCUCCAAAAGCAGUAAAGCCAAAUUAUCAAACUUUCACUGUCAAUGUUAUUUACUAAAUUGACUACAGAUUGAAGGCAUUAGGAAACUUCAUUGGAUUAGGAAUACAAGGGAAAAAGUUUUAGAUUGAUUAAAAAAAAACCCUUCAGAUUAUAAAGUAUGACUAGGUUUAUUAAAAAGAAUAAAAUAAUCUAUUUGCAACAACAUUAAUUCAGUUCAGUUCAGUCGCUCAGUCGUGUUUGCAAUGUGGAUGGACCUAAAGAUUGUCACACUGCGUCAAGUGAGUCAAAAGGAGGAGAAAUAUUACAUGACAUCCCUUACCUACAGAAUCUAAAAAAUUAUACAAAUGAACUUAUUUACAAAACAGAAACAGACUCACAGACUUAGAGAAUGAAUUUAUGGUUGCCAGCAGGGGAAGGAUGUGGGGAAGGGAUAGUUAUGGAAUUUGGGAUGGAUAAGGUACUCAUGGGGUCACAAAGAGUCGGACAUGACUGAGCGACUGAUCUGAUCUGAAG
ensembl:lncRNA